CUAUAAUCUUCCUCGUUUUGCAGGAUUAUAUUGUGGCGAAAGAAGAGAGCAUCCAUCAUGGUCAGAAGAGAAAGAGACCGGAGUUUUCUCCAAACAAGGACUACGAAAGCAAAGAAGAAAGUGAAAAAGCUGAAGGCCUCGACAGCACAGAUGAGAGAUGAGGUGACUGAAUUGACAACACUUGGUGGAAAACCGAUACCAGGCAAUCGUCCAAAUCAGAGAAGCGAUUCAUGCACUUACCUUAACUGCUGAGUCGUCCAAUGCUCAGCUCCUCGAACUCAUUUCUGCUUGGCUUGAUGAAAACCAUGGCGACUGAUCACUUUUCCUACUCUCUGUGGGAUGUUGAGGAGUUAGCAGCUCAGCUGGUAUGAUGGAGCUCCAGAAAGAUUUUUCUUAUGGCUUUAAGCUUCCCAUCUUGGCUUAUUUACUUUUUUCUUAGUGGAAAUAAGGAUCUUUGCUUUGGAACUGGAACUGCUAGGUUAUAGAGUGAAUUGGGUCUGUGGUUUUUCUUCCUUUUAUUAAACUUUUUGUGUGGAACUGGGAGAUGC